rnacentral:lncRNA from 1 species
GGUAUUAAAGUGUCAAGGUGGAGGUUGGAAAAAAUAACAUGAUAAAACCGUAGCAAACCACAGCUACAUUCACUUGCCUCCAAUGAAGGGUUGGUAUCAUACACGAUCUGAAGGACCACCACCUAAUCACAAUCAAAGCCUCAGCAAACACUCUCAAAUAUGAAUAUAUAACAGUAAAUAACAUGCAUCUACGGCCUCAAGACCUCAAAACGCAAAAACAAGAAACGCCGCUUGGACUAUAAACAAUACUGUUGCUUCAAACCUUUAUAUCUCGAAAUAUAAAAAUUGUAUGACUGCAAAUAAAUACAUUUUGGAAAUCUACAGAAUGAGACCUACAACUUUCGUGUAGAACCCAUAUUUUUAUUCUGCCAUUUAGAUGGCCUAAAGCUCAAAUCAAGACAAGCUUCAGAAUCUGCCCAAGAAUUCAGACUGCCACACUUAAAACAGCCAUAUCUGGAGUUCUACUCGCCAAUCAAAGUGUACUUUACCAAUAUGGAAAGCUAAGGAAAAACUCUACAACUUCCUAGUUAUAAACUUUCGCAGCAAAAUCAUUUUGAUCCUCUAAUUAGCGAAAUACAGAGACACAACAAAGCUGACAGGGCCUAGAAACACUAAUCCAAAACACAACACCUAAUCCCAUCCUCUAACCUUCGAAUAACGCCGAAUUACAACCCUAAAAUAACCUACAACCUCUGCACAGGAGAGUUAAGCCUCACCUAGGGUUUGGAGAACUUGAGAGAAUAUGAUGGGAAAACCAACUCACCACUCUUCCUGCUCCUCUCCUCUUCCUCGAUCCGUUUUUCCAAUCAGAUUCUUGAUUAGGGCUAUGGUUCUUGGAGAUCCAUGGAGUAGGG